GUAAUGGCAGGUCAGCAUACUGCCGUGAAUACGUUCCCGGGCCUUGUACACACCGCCCGUCACACCAUGAGAGUUGGGAAUACCCGAAGCCUGUGAGCCAACAAACGAGGCAGCAGUCGAAGGUAGAAUCAAUGAUUGGGGUGAAGUCGUAACAAGGUAAC
rnacentral:rRNA from 1 species